CACUUGAAUCCGAGGGGCAGAGGUUGCAGUGAACCGAGAUUGCACCAUUGCACUCUGGCCUGGGUGACAAAGUAAAACAGUCUCAAAAAAAAAAAAAAAAGAGGAAUAAAGUAGUCAAUCAAUACAAAGCUAAUGUGAGGAAAUUACUAUUCUUUUUAACAAUUUUGAAAUGUUUAAAAUUAGUAUCACCUCAAGUUUUGGUCAAAUUAAUAUAUCUGACCUGUUACCCCAUAGAAUUAUAAGGUGGUAGACAUCAUGGUGGGCUGAAAAUUGAACGCCCAGUGACUUUAGCUUUUGCUAACAACCAAUUCUUUAGAUUUUAAUAUUGAAUUCUGAACUUCAGAAUAUUUGCUGGUAAUGUACUGAGUGAUUAAGGAUUAUAAAAUUUGCUAUUAAUAAGCUAAUACUUUUCACAUUAUUAUCAUGUCCUGAUGGCUUUAAUUCCAUGUUCUACAAAGAAGAUUGCCUGCCAUGCAAUAUUUGGCAACGUUACAAAUUUUUUUUUUUUUUUUUUUUUUUUUUUUUUUUGAGGCAGAGUCGCGCUCUGUCGCCCAGGCUGGAGUGCGGUGGUGCAAUCUUGGCUCACUGCCGCUCUGCCUCCCAGGUUCACGCCAUUCUCCUGCCUCAGCCUCCCGAGUAGCUGGAACUAUAGGCGCCUGCCACCAAGCCUGGCUAAUUUUUUGUAUUUUUAGUAGAGGCGGGGUUUCACCACGUUAGUCAGGAUGGUCUCGAUCUCCUGACCUUGUGAUUUGCCCACCUUGGCCUCCCAAAGUGCUAGGAUUACAGGUGUGAAACACCGCGCCUGGCCAACGUUACAAAUCUAUGUCUGUACAUGUGCCAAUACAAGUAACAGAAACACUAGAAAUUUCAGUUUGUUGUUUGAGUUAUAGAAAGUAAUAUCUUCAAAAAUUAUACAGUACUGUACUGAUACCUCAGCCUGUGAAGACUCUUCAGGAUAUUCAGGGUAAAUUUUACAUUCUCCAGUUAUCUAUUUCCUAAUGCUGUAAAUUCAUAUUGUCACUACUACCAUAGUGACAAAGCAUGUGUAAGGAAUCCACCCUAAAAAUAUACAUAUAAAACAAACUUAACAACGAGUACACUUAUAUGAGGUAAUGGAUAUUGACUCAUGAAGGGAAAGAGUUCUUUAAUAGGCAGUCUAGUAAUACAAGUAAGAGUAUAAGUUUUGAUAUCAGGAAAGCAUGAGUCAAAAUUCUGGCUUUAUAAUUUAUUAUCUGAGUGUUCUAGGGUCAGUUAUCAUAACACUGUAAGCAUUAAAUCUCUGAUAUGUAAAUCCAGAUACAAAUCACUGCUUUAUGGAGUGUUAGAGUUAUUGCUUACUUUAGUAGCACAUAUACUAAAAUUGUGAUAAUACAGAGAAGAUUUGCAUGGCCCCUGUGCAACAACAACACACAGAUUUGUGAAGCAUUCUAUGUUUUACAAAUUGAAAAAAAAGGCACAGACAAAGAGAGAAUUCUAAAAAGAGCAAGAUAAAAGCUUCAAGUCACCUGUGAGGGAAUCUCUAUUAGACUAUGGGAGGAUUUUGCAGAAAAAAAAAAUCACAGACCAGGGGGAAUGGGUUGCCUUAUAUUCAAAGGGUUGCGAAAAAUAAAUACAUAAAACCCUUAUCAAUCCUGAAUACUAUACCCAGCAAUGCAUUCAGAAAUAAAAGAGAAAUAAACCCUGUCCCAGAGAAACAAAAGCUGACAUAAUUUAUCAUCACUAGACUGGACUUAAAACAAAUGCUUAAGGGAGAAG
rnacentral:lncRNA from 1 species